rnacentral:rRNA from 1 species
CUGCUGCCUCCCGUAGGAGUCUGGGCCGUGUCUCAGUCCCAGUGUGGGGGGCCUUCCUCUCAGAACCCCUACGCAUCGUCGCCACGGUGGGCCGUCACCCCGCCGUCUAGCUAAUGCGCCGCAUGCCCAUCCGCCACCGGAUCGCUCCUUUGGCCACCGGAGGAUGCCCUCCGGUGGCGUCACGGGGUAUUAGGCCGCGUUUCCGCGGGUUAUCCCCCUGUGGCGGCCAGGUUGCAUACGUGUUACUCACCCGUGCGCCGGUCGCCGGCGGG